GCUCUGGUUUCCUCCCACAUUUAAAGACAUGCAGGUUAGGUGAACUGGAAACUUUAUAACUGUCCAUGUCUCCCUUGCAAUAGAGAUCUCGAGCUCAAUGAAACUAUCCUGGCUAAAUAAAGGUU